rnacentral:lncRNA from 1 species
AAUUAUACAAUAGGGAAGAGUACUUAUAAGUUCUAUUACUCUUCUCUGGGCUUAAAUUAGAAAAAAAACUGUUAGCAACUAAAAACUGGCUAUAUGUCUUCUUCACAUGUUAUCAUUUUGGAAAAUAUCAUGCAUGUCAUUCAUGGUGUUGUUGAAACCAUUAUUUUGUCGGGUCCAUUAUGAUCUCGCGUGCUCUCUUCUUCUCUCUUGCUCUUGCUCUUGAUUUCUGAAAUAAUU